rnacentral:tRNA from 1 species
GCGUUCAUGAUGUAAUGGUAGCAUCCUGUCCUUCCAAGUCAGUCGUUAGAGUUCGAAUCUCUAUGGGCGCACCA